rnacentral:rRNA from 1 species
UCCGUAGGCGGACUAAUAAGUCAGGGGUGAAAUCCAACAGCUUAACUGUUGAACUGCCUUUGAUACUGUUAGUCUUGAAUUAUAUGGAAGUAGAUAGAAUGUGUAGUGUAGCGGUGAAAUGCUUAGAGAUUACACAGAAUACCGAUUGCGAAGGCAGUCUACUACGUAUAUAUUGACGCUAAUGGACGAAAGCGUGGGGAGCGAACAGGAUUAGAUACCCUGGUAGUCC